rnacentral:rRNA from 1 species
UACAGAGGUGGCAAGCGUUGUUCGGAAUUACUGGGCGUAAAGGGCGCGUAGGCGGCCAUCUAAGUCAGACGUGAAAUCCCCCGGCUUAACCUGGGAACUGCGUCUGAUACUGGACGGCUCGAGUUUGGAGAGGGAUGCAGAAUUCCAGGUGUAGCGGUGAAAUGCGUAGAUAUCUGGAGGAAUACCGGUGGCGAAGGCGGCAUCCUGGCCUGUUCUUGACGCUGAGGCGCGAAAGCUAGGGGAGCAAACGGG